rnacentral:rRNA from 1 species
CGGGAUGGACGUACCUCUGGUGUACCAGUUGUUCUGCCAAGGGCAUGGCUGGGUAGCUAUGUACGGAAUGGAUAAGCGCUGAAAGCAUCUAAGCGCGAAGCCAACUUCAAGAUAAGAUUUCCCACCGUAAGGGUAAGACCCCAGAAAGACUAUCUGGUUGAUAGGUCGAAGGUGUAAGUGCAGCAAUGUAUUUAGCUUAUCGAUACUAAUAGGUCGAGGACUUGACCAA